rnacentral:rRNA from 1 species
CCCUUAGAUGUUCUGGGCCGCACGCGCGCUACACUGAUACAUGCAACGAGUUUAUAACCUUGAUCUGACGGUCUGGGUAAUCUUCAAACUGUAUCGUGUUAGGGAUCGAUUCUUGCAAUUUUUAAUCGUAAACGAGGAAUUCCUAGUAAACGCAAGUCAUCAGCUUGCAUUGAUUACGUCCCUGCCCUUUGUACACACCGCCCGUCGACCCUACCGAUUGAAUGGUUCGGUGAAAACUUUGGACUGUGGCAUUGUCCUUCAUUGGACUUCGCCGUAGGAAAUUGUUUAAACCUCAUCAUUUAGAGGAAGAAUAAGUCGUAACA